rnacentral:rRNA from 1 species
GUUCUCUCCGAAAUAGCUUUAGGGCUAGCCUCAAGUGAUGAUUAUUGGAGGUAGAGCACUGUUUGGACGAGGGGCCCCUCUCGGGUUACCGAAUUCAGACAAACUCCGAAUGCCAAUUAAUUUAACUUGGGAGUCAGAACAUGGGUGAUAAGGUCCGUGUUCGAAAGGGAAACAGCCCAGACCACCAGCUAAGGUCCCAAAAUAUAUGUUAAGUGGAAAAGGAUGUGGCGUUGCCCAGACAACUAGGAUGUUGGCUUAGAAGCAGCCAUCAUUUAAAGAGUGCGUAAUAGCUCACUAGUCGAGUGACACUGCGCCGAAAAUGUACCGGGGCUAAACAUAUUACCGAAGCUGUGGAUUGUCCUUUGGACAAUGGUAGGAGAGCGUUCUAAGGGCGUUGAAGCAUGAUCGUAAGGACAUGUGGAGCGCUUAGAAGUGAGAAUGCCGGUGUGAGUAGCGAAAGACGGGUGAGAAUCCCGUCCACCGAUUGACUAAGGUUUCCAGAGGAAGGCUCGUCCGCUCUGGGUUAGUCGGGUCCUAAGCUGAGGCCGACAGGCGUAGGCGAUGGAUAACAGGUUGAUAUUCCUGUACCACCUAUAAUCGUUUUAAUCGAUGGGGGGACGCAGUAGGAUAGGCGAAGCGUGCGAUUGG